UGACGUAUAAUCUAGUGGACGGUUCAUCAGAAACAGCUCGUCAACCACCUCAGUAGCUUGCUAGACAACAUAGCCGAAUGAUUCAAGCUAUUUAUACGCUUUCGGUGUAUAUUAGCUACUGUGUUUUAGACACACUUCUGUCGUAUCUACUUGUUAACCUAUUUAAUUUAAUAUAACGUUAUUUUGUAUUAGUCAGCUAUAGUAGCUGGCUGGUUAAGUUAGCACUAGUCUAGUCGCUAAUGAUAGCUAUCUAACAUCCCCGAACACGAGCUCCCUAAACUACUCACCUCCUGUUAAAGAAGAGAAGAUCUGCUGGACGGAGAAAGAAGCUCUGGGGCUGAACAUUGUUGUGAAAGAGGAGGAUGUCACAGUAAAACAAGAAGUAGAGGGUGAGACUGUUACAGUGAAAGAAGAAGAGAAAGACGUUUUUGGAAUGAAGGAUGAAGAGGGGGAGAUUACUGUCACAUUAGAGGAGGAUGAAGAAGAGAAGCCUGGAGAUCUGAUUAACACCAGUAAAUACAGAGAGAGAUGGAUCGUGGAUCCUCUGGGGAGCCUCAACACCCUCAUGAUGCUGACGAAGCAGAGAAGAGUCUCUCCACAUCAGAACACCUCAAGAAACACUAGCGGAGACCCACAUGGAAGAAAUCUCACCGCUGCUCUGACUGUGGGAAGAGAUUCACCUCCUCAGCAGGCAUUAAAAUUCAUCAGAGAAUCCACACAGGAGAGAAAUCAUAUAGCUGUGAUCUAUGUGGGAAGAGUUUUACUACAUCUAGUCAUCUGGCUGUACACCAGAGAACACACACAGGAGAGAAACCUUUGAACUGUAAUCAGUGUGAGAAGAGGUACUCUCAUAAAAUAAAUCUGAUUACACAUCAGAAAAUACAUUGUCAGAACAGAAAUGACAAGAUGAUGUUAUAAUAUUAUUGUAUCAGAAUCCGGGGUUCUUAGAUGGGGUUGUUAGAUGGGGUCUCUGAAAGAGACAGUGAAUUUCCACUUUUUUUUUUUACAAAAAGUGACAAACAAAAUACUUUUUAAACUUGUCGCUAAAUCUUAAGCUUAUCGUUAAAAGAUAUCUCCAAUUUCCAUGUGUUUUGUUUUGUUAGUUUCAACAACACGUACAACCUGAUUUCCCCCCUAAUAGGUAUCAGUGAUUUAUUGCUACUUGUCAAAACAACAGUGGUUCUGGUGCUUGUGCAGGUUAUAAGGUGCUUGUUUAAAAAAAAAUACAAGUAUUAUGAUUAUUGUGUCA